GGGAUAACACUUGGAAACAGGUGCUAAUACCGCAUCAACCGGCUGACCGCAUGGUCGGCCGGGCAAAGACGGCGUCAGCUGUCGCUUUUGGAUGAGCCCGCGGCGUAUUAACUAGUUGGUAAGGUAACGGCUUACCAAGGUGAUGAUACUUAGCCGAACUGAGAGGUUGAUCGGCCACAUUGGGACUGAGACACGGCCCAAACUCCUACGGGAGGCAGCAGUAGGGAAUCUUCCACAAUGGACGCAAGUCUGAUGGAGCAACGCCGCGUGUAUGAAGAAGGUCUUCGGAUCGUAAAAUACUGUUGUCAGAGAAGAACACGUGAUAUAGUAACUGCUAUCUCUCUGACGGUAUCUGACCAGCAAGUCACGGCUAACUACGUGCCAGCAACCGCGGUAAUACUAUGUGGUAAGCGGUCAACGGACUUUUGGGCGUAAAGGAACGCAUGCGGUCUUUUAGUCUGAUGUGAAGCCUUCCGCUUACCGGAGAAGUGCAUUGGAACUGGAAGACUUGAGUGCAAAGAGGAGAGUGAACUCAUGUGUAGCGGUGAAUGCGUGAUUAUGGAAAACCCAGUGGCGAAGCGCUCUCUGGCUGUACUGACCUGAGGUCGAAGCGUGGGAGCGACAGGAUAAAUACCUGGUAGUCACGCUGCAACUAUGAUGCUUGUGUCGAAGGUUCCGCCCUUCGGGCCGUAG
rnacentral:rRNA from 2 species